CCUACGGGUGGCAGCAGUGAGGAAUAUUGGUCAAUGGACGAGAGUCUGAACCAGCCAAGUAGCGUGAAGGAUGACUGCCCUAUGGGUUGUAAACUUCUUUUAUCAAGGAAUAAAACGAGGCACGUGUCCCUUUUUGCAUGUACUUUAUGAAUAAGGAUCGGCUAACUCCGUGCCAGCAGCCGCGGUAAUCCGGAGGAUCCGAGCGUUAUCCGGAUUUAUUGGGUUUAAAGGGAGCGUAGAUGGGUUGUUAAGUCAGUUGUGAAAGUUUGCGGCUCAACCGUCAAAGUGCUGUUGAUACUGGCAGUCUUGAGUAGAGGUGAGGUAUGCGGAAUUCGUGGUGUAGCGGUGAAAUGCUUAGAUAUCGCGCAGAACCCCGAUUGCGAAGGCAGCUUAC
rnacentral:rRNA from 1 species